rnacentral:rRNA from 1 species
CAAGGAGUCUAGCAUGUGCGCGAGUCAUUGGGACUAGCGAAACCUAAAGGCGUAAUGAAAGUGAAGGUCCGCCGAGCGCGGACAGAGGGAGGAUGGGCGGUAUAUAGCGACCGCUCCGCACUCCCGGGGCGUCUCGUUCUCAUCGCGAGAAGAGGCGCACCAAGAGCGUACACGCUGGGACCCGAAAGAUGGUGAACUAUGCCUGGUCAGGACGAAGUCAGGGGAAACCCUGAUGGAGGUCCGUAGCGAUUCUGACGUGCAAAUCGAUCGUCGGAACUGGGUAUAGGGGCGAAAGACUAAUCGAACCAUCUAGUAGCUGGUUCCCUCCGAAGUUUCCCUCAGGAUAGCUGGCGCUCGCAUCUCGCGAGUCUCAUUCGGUAAAGCGAAUGAUUAGAGGCAUUGGGGUCGAAACGGCCUCAACCUAUUCUCAAACUUUAAAUGGGUGAGAUCUCCGGCUUGCUUGAACUGUGAAGCCGCGAGAUAUCGGAUCAGAGUGCCAAGUGGGCCACUUUUGGUAAGCAGAACUGGCGCUGUGGGAUGAACCAAACGCAGAGUUAAAGCGCCUAAAUCGACGCUUAUGGGAUACCAUGAAAGGCGUUGGUAACUUAAGACAGCAGGACGGUGGCCAUGGAAGUCGGA